AGGGAAUUUUGCGCAAUGGACGAAAGUCUGACGCAGCAAUACCGUGUGAGGGAUGAAGCAUUUCGGUGUGUAAACCUCUGUCGAUGAUGAAUAAAGCAUUGGGGAGUGGAAAGCCCCGGUGUUGAAGGUAAUCAUGAAGGAAGCACCGGCUAACUCUGUGCCAGCAGCCGCGGUAAUACAGGGGGUGCAAGCGUUGUUCGGAAUUACUGGGCGUAAAGGGAGCGUAGGCGGAAUUGCAAGACAGAGGUUAAAUCUCCGGGCUCAACCUGGAACUUGCCUUUGUGACUGCAGUUCUUGAGUAUGGCAGAGGUCAGUGGAAUUUCCGGUGUAGCGGUGGAAUGCGUAGAGAUCGGAAAGAACACCAGAGGCGAAGGCGACUGACUGGACCAAUACUGACGCUGAGGCUCGAAAGCGUGGGGAGCAAAC
rnacentral:rRNA from 1 species